rnacentral:rRNA from 1 species
UACGUAGGUGGCAAGCGUUGUCCGGAAUUAUUGGGCGUAAAGCGCGCGCAGGCGGUCCUUUAAGUCUGAUGUGAAAGCCCACGGCUCAACCGUGGAGGGUCAUUGGAAACUGGGGGACUUGAGUGCAGAAGAGGAAAGCGGAAUUCCACGUGUAGCGGUGAAAUGCGUAGAGAUGUGGAGGAACACCAGUGGCGAAGGCGGCUUUCUGGUCUGUAACUGACGCUGGGGCGCGAAAGCGUGGGGAGCAAACAGG